rnacentral:rRNA from 1 species
UCACUAAGAGAUGGUCCCGCGGUGCAUUAGUUAGUUGGUGAGGUAAUGGCUCACCAAGACGAUGAUGCAUAGCCGAGUUGAGAGACUGAUCGGCCACAAUGGGACUGAGACACGGCCCAUACUCCUACGGGAGGCAGCAGUAGGGAAUCUUCCACAAUGGGCGAAAGCCUGAUGGAGCAACGCCGCGUGUGUGAUGAAGGGUUUCGGCUCGUAAAACACUGUUGUAAGAGAAGAAUGACAUUGAGAGUAACUGUUCAAUGUGUGACGGUAUCUUACCAGAAAGGAACGGCUAAAUACGUGCCAGCAGCCGCGGUAAUACGUAUGUUCCAAGCGUUAUCCGGAUUUAUUGGGCGUAAAGCGAGCGCAGACGGUUAUUUAAGUCUGAAGUGAAAGCCCUCAGCUCAACUGAGGAAUUGCUUUGGAAACUGGAUGACUUGAGUGCAGUAGAGGAAAGUGGAACUCCAUGUGUAGCGGUGAAAUGCGUAGAUAU